rnacentral:rRNA from 1 species
UGUACAAUGGGCAGCAAGCCUGNUGACGCAACGCCGCGUGGAGGAUGAAGGUCUUCGGAUUGUAAACUCCUGUUGCCCGGGACGAACGGCUCCAACCUAACACGUUGGAGUGUGACGGUACCGGGUGAGGAAGCCCCGGCUAACUCUGUGCCAGCAGCCGCGGUAAUACAGAGGGGGCAAGCGUUGUUCGGAAUUACUGGGCGUAAAGGGCGCGUAGGCGGCCCGCUAAGUCGAACGUGAAAUCCCCGAGCUCAACUCGGGAACUGCGUCCGAUACUGGUGGGCUUGAAUCCGGGAGAGGGAUGCGGAAUUCCAGGUGUAGCGGUGAAAUGCGUAGAUAUCUGGAGGAACACCGGUGGCGAAGGCGGCAUCCUGGACCGGCAUUGACGCUGAGGCGCGAAAGCUAGGGGAGCAAACGGGAUUAGAUACCCCGGUAGUCCUAGCCCUAAACGAUGAAUGCUUGGUGUGGCGGGUAUCGAUCCCUGCCGUGCCGAAGCUAACGCAUUAAGCAUUCCGCCUGGGGAGUACGGUCGCAAGGCUGAAACUCAAAGAAAUUGACGGA